CCAAGAGGACAUACCUAAAGUGCAUGUCCCUGAACUUAUACCACCGUGGACUGUGAUCUUGCAAGCUAAACAGGUUCAGGCUGUGUCAGUAGCUAGAUGGGAGACAUCCAAGGAAAACACAUGUGCUAUAGGA
rnacentral:rRNA from 1 species